GAUUUUAUAUAUUAUUUUAUAUUUAUUUAUGUAAAAAAUAUUAUUUUGUUGUUGUAAUUUAAGGAUUAAAUUAUUUUAAUUAUAGUUUAUUUGUACUGUUAAGGGUUUAUGAAUAUUAUUUAUAUAAGUUGAUUUAUUUAAUUGUACCUUGUGUAUCAGGGUUUAUUAAAAUAGGGAAAUUUAUAUUUUAUUCUCGAUAUUCAAGGAGUUAAUCAAUUAAUAUAGUUAUUGUAAUAUAAUUAUUAUGAAUUUUGGGUUAGUAAUGAAAUGUUAAUCGUUUUGGAAUGUAUCUAGUUUUCUUGGAAAUAAGUUUAAUUUAUGUUUUGGUUUUAAUUAUUUUAUUAUUUAAAUUUUUUUAAUUAAGACAAAUAUUUAAGGGGAUUAGCUCUUAAAUAUAAUAAUAUAAUCUUAAUACUUAAUAAUAAUAAUGUGGAUUUAAUAUUGAUUAACAUUUUGAGGAUGUGAAAAUUUUAAUUUAUAGAUUUUAUUUUUUUUUUUGAUUUAUUUAUUUUACUAGAAUGUGAAUAUAAUAAGAUAUUUUUUGUAAUUAUGAUUUAAUUAGUAAAUUAUAUUAUAGAUAAUAAAGUAAGGUUGUAAAUUUUAUUAAAGGAAUUCGGCAAAUAAAAUAUUCGCCUGUUUAACAAAAACAUCUUUUUUUGUAUUGGUUAAUAAAUAUAGCCUGCCCACUGAUAGAUUUAAAGGGCCGCGGUAAUUUGACCGUGCAAAGGUAGCAUAAUCAUUAGUUUUUUAAUUGAGGGCUGGAAUGAAUGGCUGGACGAGAUAUAAGCUGUCUUGAUUAAUUGAUAGUUGAAAUUAAAAUUUAAGUAAGAAUGCUUAAAUAUAAUUGUGGGACGAGAAGACCCUAUAGAGUUUAAUAUAUUAUAAUUGUGGGAGGUUUAUUAUUAAUUAUUUAUUAUAUUAUAUUUAGUUGGGGUGAUUAUAAAAUAUAAGAAACUUUUAAUAAUUUAGGCAUUGAUUUAUGUUUUGUUGAUCCAUUAAUAUUGAUUAUAAGAGUAAAUUACCUUAGGGAUAACAGCGUAAUUUUUUUUGAGAGUUCUUAUUGACAAGAAAGAUUGCGACCUCGAUGUUGAAUUAAGAUAAUAUUAGGUGUAGAAGUUUAAGUGAUUAGGUCUGUUCGACCUUUAAAAUCUUACAUGAUUUGAGUUCAAACCGGUGUGAGCCAGGUUGGUUUCUAUCUUUAAUAAUGGGAAAAUUUUUUAGUACGAAAGGACCAGAAAUUUAAAAUAAUUUUUAGUAGAGAGUUUUAUAUUAAGA
rnacentral:rRNA from 1 species